ACGAACGCUGGCGGCGUGCUUAACACAUGCAAGUCGAACGGUGAACUUGGGAGCUUGCUUCCGGGGGAUCAGUGGCGAACGGGUGAGUAACACGUGAGCAAUCUGCCCUUGACUCUGGGAUAAGCGUUGGAAACGACGUCUAAUACCGGAUACGAGCUGCGAAGGCAUCUUCAGCAGUUGGAAAGAAUUUUGGUCAAGGAUGAGCUCGCGGCCUAUCAGCUUGUUGGUGAGGUAAUGGCUCACCAAGGCGACGACGGGUAGCCG
rnacentral:rRNA from 3 species